rnacentral:miRNA from 1 species
CCAAACACAUAUAAACCA